CCUACGGGAGGCAGCAGUGAGGAAUAUUGGUCAAUGGCCGGAAGGCUGAACCAGCCAUGCCGCGUGAAGGUCAGUGCCCUUUGGGCGUUAAACUUCUUUUGUGCGGGAGCAAUAAUGGUCACGUGUGGCCAGACGAGAGUACCGUACGAAUAAGCAUCGGCUAACUCCGUGCCAGCAGCCGCGGUAAUACGGGGGAUGCAAGCGUUAUCCGGAUUUAUUGGGUUUGAAGGGUGCGUAGGCUGUGAGGUAAGUCAGCGGGGAAAUGCCCCGGCUCAACGGGGUGAAGUGCCAUGGAUACUGCCCGGCUGGAAGGCGGAAGCGGUGGGAGGAAUGUGUGGUGUAGCGGUGAAAUGCAGAGAUAUCACACAGAACACCGAGUGCGAAGGCAGCUCACGAAACCGCGAUUGACGCUGAGGCACGAAAGCGUGGGUAGCAAACAGGAUUAGAUACCCGGGUAGUC
rnacentral:rRNA from 1 species